rnacentral:rRNA from 1 species
AUUGAACGCUGGCGGCAGGCCUAACACAUGCAAGUCGAGCGGAUGAAGGGAGCUUGCUCCUGGAUUCAGCGGCGGACGGGUGAGUAAUGCCUAUGAAUCUGCCUGGUAGUGGGGGAUAACGUCCGGAAACGGGCGCUAAUACCGCAUACGUCCUGCGGGAGCAAGUGGGGGAUCUUCGGACCUCACGCUAUCAGAUGAGCCUAGGUCGGAUUAGCUAGUUGGUGGGGUAAAGGCCUACCAAGGCGACGAUCCGUAACUGGUCUGAGAGGAUGAUCAGUCACACUGGAACUGAGACACGGUCCAGACUCCUACGGGAGGCAGCAGUGGGGAAUAUUGGACAAUGGGCGAAAGCCUGAUCCAGCCAUGCCGCGUGUGUGAAGAAGGUCUUCCGAUUGUAAAGCACUUUAAGUUGGGAUGAAGGGCAGUAAGUUAAUACCUUGCUGUUUUGACGUUACCAACAGAAUAAGCACCGGCUAACUUCGUG